GGAGCCACCUGAACUCCCCACACCUGCACCCCCUGAACCAAACAGGAACUGCCCCAGACUCCCACAGGAGAUGAAAGUCAGACCAGACAUAGUGCUCACAGCACUGAAAACUAUUAGAGGGUUACCCAGGCUGUCUCUCUCUCUCACACACUCAUCUAAAAAUGGAUCAUACUUUAACAAAUUAAAACGUUGGCUCCCAGCACAUCCUCAUAAAGAGCUUUCCUUGCAGUGUCUGCCAGCCUACCCACACUUAGCUAUAAAAAGAGAUGAACUAAACAUACCCACAAACUUUUAAAUACUUACUGAAAAGAGGCAAAAGAAAAAAUUCCUACCUGUGUUGAGCUUGGUUCAAGAGGAAACUACCUACUACAGAAUUUCUUUGUUCUGCAGCUUGUCACCAUCUCCACCCACAAUCCAUGACAGAAAACAGGAGAAAUGAAAGUAACUCAAAAGCUUACCAUUGGUGGCAGCACUGUGAAUUGAUUUUGCAAUGCAAUACAUUUUCUUUUUUUU